AUAUCAAUAAGCGGAGGAAAAGAAACCAACAGGGAUUGCCCUAGUAACGGCGAGUGAAGCGGCAACAGCUCAAAUUUGAAAUCUGGCCUCGCGGUCCGAGUUGUAAUUUGCAGAGGAUGCUUUUGGCGCGGUGCCUUCCGAGUUCCCUGGAACGGGACGCCUUAGAGGGUGAGAGCCCCGUACGGUCGGACGCCUAGCCUAUGUAAAGCUCCUUCAACGAGUCGAGUAGUUUGGGAAUGCUGCUCUAAAUGGGAGGUAAAUUUCUUCUAAAGCUAAAUACCGGCCAGAGACCGAUAGCGCACAAGUAGAGUGAUCGAAAGAUGAAAAGCACUUUGAAAAGAGGGUUAAAAAGCACGUGAAAUUGUUGAAAGGGAAGCGUUUACGACCAGACCUCUAGCUUGGGGAUCAUCCGGAGUUCUCUCCGGUGCACUUCCCUCGCCCGAGGCCAGCAUCGGUUUUCGCGGCAGGACAAAAGCUCUGGGAAAGUGGCUCCUCCGGGAGUGUUAUAGCCCUCUGCAUAAUGCCGCCGCGGGGACCGAGGACCGCGCUCUGCAAGGAUGCUGGCGUAAUGGUUGUCAACGACCCGUCUUGAAACACGGACCAAGGAGUCGAACAUUUGUGCGAGUGUUUGGGUGUUAAACCCUCACGCGUAAUGAAAGUGAACGGAGGUGAGAGCCCUUUCGGGUGCAUCAUCGACCGAUCCUGAAGUCUUCGGAUGGAUUUGAGUAAGAGCAUAACUGUUCGGACCCGAAAGAUGGUGAACUAUGCGUGGAUAGGGUGAAGCCAGAGGAAACUCUGGUGGAGGCUCGCAGCGGUUCUGACGUGCAAAUCGAUCGUCAAAUCUGCGCAUGGGGGCGAAAGA
rnacentral:rRNA from 1 species